CGUGUGGAUCACUUAUGAAUUAUUGUGAUAUUUUUAUAUGCUGUUUGGACUCUCAUUCUGACGGCACUCGUUUACUGAAGAUAUCAAUUUCGAUGAAGAAACAAUCUCAUCUAAAACUUGCAUGGCCUGAGGAAGAAAGGCCUACACGUUUGAAACAUCAAGAAGGGAAAGAGAGAGGAGGGGAACCCUGAGUCUGCCAUAAGAUACACGUCCUAUCAGUUGAUAUCCAGCAGUGAUUCAGACAAAUGAGUCGUAGAUGAGACGCCUCAGUCGAUGAGAAAUGCAACGUGAGUGUGCUUCUUCUGGGCCCUCCAAAGCAUGACAAACAUCUUAAUCAGUCUCAAAGAGGAAUAGUUCCUUUGAAAAACAGACAAAUAUCAGACAGCAGUCAGACUUAAGACAUAUGCUCGCGCUGUGACAGGAAAUAAUGCUGCAGAGCAUCAUUUCACAAUGCAUGUAAUUAUCAAGAUAUGCCUGCAAAUACUUCAUCAGUGCACUUAAAGUUUACUGAGUUGAACUUGUUGUGAAAACAAUGGGGAGAGAUUUUGGGAUGCUCUGGCCUCUAAAAUAAGAUCUGAAAGCUAUACCUAUAUAAGACUUGAUUUUUCUAUCUUAAAAAAUUGCUAGGAACUAGGAUUGUGAGUAAUGCAAA